UCUUCCGGCUGGCUGUGGGCUGCAUUGCCAGUCCAGUAAGUAAGAUACGGCCAGAGCUGAGAACUAAUGGACCUGUCAGCUCGAUGCAGAGCACUUCUUGAAGCUCCCCAGAGGCAGAGACGGGGAUCUCCCUGUGUUGCCCAGGCUGGCCUCGAACUCCUGGGCCUGAGUGAUCCUCCUGCCUUGACCUCCUGCAAUGCUGGAAUGACAAGUGUGAGCCACCAAGCCCAGCCUGCCUGGGCUUUCCUGCCUGGACGGGCCUGCCAUGGUCCCUGGGGAACUUCAAAGACAGGAUGGACAACUGGCAGAACUGGGAGGACUCCAGUCCCCAGGGUGCACUUUUUAGGCCACAGAGAUGGUCUUGUUGUCCCACCCUCACUCCCAAAGCCACAUUUGCUUUUGGAACCACUGCUUGAUGCUUUGCAGAAGGGUGAAGGAAGAUGAGAAAGGCCUUAGCCUUUAGGUCUCUACUCUGUGCCAGAUGAGAACAGAGGGAGUCAGAGUCCUGGGGACACCCUGCAUUUCCGUCUAGAAGUCUUUCAAUCCCCUUUCCACCACUUCAGCAAGCGUUGCAACUGCCUCUGAUACCACCAGUCCCUGUCCUCCACGUCCCCUUCCCUAGUCACUGCUGCCAUCAAAUCAUCCUAGUCCGAAUGGGACUAUUCUAGACAGUCCAUGACAAUGAAGUUGAUUCAUUCACACCUUCGACAUAUAUUCCCCGAGCACCGGCGUAAGCCAGCAUGUCCUCGGCUCAGGAUAUUUUCUUGUUCUAUUUAUUUCUGUACUGUCAUGCUUGGUGCAGGUCUGAACACACAGCAGGCAUUCCCUACAUGUGCUGAAUAAAUCAAUGAAUGGCUGAACAUUGAACUUGUAGCCAACUGGUCCUUAUUCAUCAUUGUUUUCAGCUGCUGCUUUUAAGUCAAGUAUCUGUCAACCCAAAGACUGUUGUAGUCACUUCACUGUCCCCAAGAAUCUAACAUGUUUA